CUCCCCCGCGGCUCCGGGAAGCCCGGGCCUGAGAACUCUUGCCCACUUCGCUGCGAACACUUUCGCCUCUAUCCGCGGCCUGAAAACUCUGCCACCCUAGUUGAUAACAAAAGGAGGUGCACCUGGCCUUUCCGCGGAAUCUUCUGCGUUUUAAGCUUCGGGUGGAGUUGGGGGUCCUUUGGCUGUAAACUGCGCUUGCUGGUUGAAAAUAGAAAUCGGUCCUGCUCUCUUCAGCGGACGAUUCGUUACCUACCUGGAGUGUCUUUUGACUGUGGGCAUCCCCCGGUGUUCUUUAAGGUGAGCUAUUUUAAGAAAAUUAAUUUCUCAGUUUAUAAUUGAUUUCUUGAUACAGAUAACUUCCUGAGUGAAAACUUUUUUUUCACUAGCUUGUAAAUCUAACGUUGAGCAGAAAGCCAGCUAUUUUCACAAGUUUUAGUUAACGUACUGAAAGUCUGCGAAGAAUCCAAUGUAGAGGAUUCUGAGGUCAACAGAAAGGAUAUUGCUCUGUGUUUUAGAAGUACUGUGUGUUUUGGAAAGUGCUUUUUUCGCUUUAUAAUUUCUGUUUCGGGCACUUUAAUUCUUACAUGACAUAUUUGUUUUUUUAUGCUUCCUGUGUGGUCCCCCCCGCCCCUGCCUUCUGCUUGUCUUUUUUAACCUAACCAGAAGGUGGUGUUGGCCCCACGUGACUGUCAGUUAAUCUCUUGCUAAUCUUGGGCCUGCUGUGCUGGGGGUGGGACUACAGUGACCUACAGAACAGAUAGUCUGUUGCCACUAGCCUUUCAAUGCAGUUGCAAAGAGUUUUUAAACAAAUUAGGAUUGGUUCCCUAGAAUGCUCUGGGAUCAUAGAAGUAUAGAUUUAAUUUGUGGGGGGGAGAAAGUCUUGUGGAAAAGUUGGUAAAUUUAAGCUGAGACCGUAAGGAUUAGUGGGAUUUAGCUAGACAGAUGGGUGGGCUAUCUUCAGACAGAUAAUUACUACGUGUGUCAAUUCCAGUGGAACAGAGAGCCUGCCACAUUUCGGCACAGAGAAAUACGGGAAUAAAGGUUUGUUUGCUUUCUAAUGCA
rnacentral:lncRNA from 1 species